AUUGAACGCUGGCGGCGGGCCUAACACAUGCAAGUCGAACGAGUGGCGGACGGGUGAGUAAUGUCUGGGAAACUGCCUUAUGGCGGGGGAUAACUCCUGAAAACGGUAGCUAAUACCGCAUACCAUCGGAUGUGCCCCGAUUGGCUUAGCUAGUAGGUGGGGUAACGGCUCACCUAGGCGACGAUCCCUAGCGGGUCUGAGAGGAUGACCAGCGACACUGGAACUGAGACACGGUCCAGACUCCUACGGUAGGCAGCAGUGGGGAAUAUUGCACAAUGGGCGCAAGCCUGACGCAGCAAUGCCGCGUGUAUGAAGAAGGCCUGCGGGUUGUAAAGUACUGUCAGCGGGGAGGCGUUACCUGCAGAAGAAGCACCGGCUAACUCCGUGCCAGCAGCCGCGGUAAUUC
rnacentral:rRNA from 1 species